UGGGGAAAAGGUGUGACACCAAUCAGGCCCCCGAGGACUGGAGUUUCCCAGGCCUGGUCUAGAAUGAGGAACGGUGAAGAGAGGCUCUGACGUCAGAGAUGAAGUGCGAGGCAUCUCUAUCGGAACAACACGCACAAACCAUGAACUGAACGCGCUGAAUAGGGAAGCUGUCCACAUCUGUCAUUGUGCACAAACAGACCUUUGUGUGACCACGAGCCACAACUUGACAUAUGACCGGGUAGUUGUUGGUUACAUGGUAGUUGUUGGGAGUGGGCUCAAAACAAUGUAUCACAAGGCACUACAGAAGUGAGCCUGGUCUCUCGCUCUUCUUUGAUAAGGGGUACGAUUGCGGUGAUUGCGUUUCAAUGUUAUUCUGACUGCCUAGGACCGAAUACAAGCUCUGAGCAAGUUUGUGGACAGACAAACCCACCACGUCCCCAGUCAGUGCCCCCAACUGUCACUCUCCCCCCCCUACCCACCUACCACCUCACUGCUCUAGACCCUCUAGUCUGUAGCCAGACUGCCUGUGGUUGGUCAGUGCCAUGAUAAAGCACCUCUCCCCCUCUAACAGGAUCCUACAGAGUUAGAGGGUGUAGAAGACCAGCCUGAUAACUCCGUUAGCAGUGAAGUAGAGAUGGAGUCAGAGGAGACCAUUGCAGAGAGAAAGAGGAAGAUGGCCAGCCCAGCGGAGGAGUCCCAUCUGCAAGGCGUGGGGGCCUCCAGCUGUCUGGGACUGAGUAAACCGGAGACCCGUGAAGAGAGGAAGAUGGAAGC